rnacentral:rRNA from 1 species
UACGUAGGUGGCAAGCGUUGUCCGGAAUUAUUGGGCGUAAAGCGCGCGCAGGCGGUCCUUUAAGUCUGAUGUGAAAGCCCACGGCUCAACCGUGGAGGGUCAUUGGAAACUGGGGGACUUGAGUACAGAAGAGAAGAGUGGAAUUCCACGUGUAGCGGUGAAAUGCGUAGAGAUGUGGAGGAACACCAGUGGCGAAGGCGGCUAUCUGGACGGUUUCUGACACUAAGACUCGAAAGCGUGGGGAGCAAACAGG